rnacentral:rRNA from 1 species
AGCGAACAUUGGCGGUAGGCUUAACACAUGCAAGUCGAGCGAGGCUACGAGCCGAGCGGCGAACGGGUGAGUAAUACGUUGAAAUCUGCCCUGGAGUGGGGAAUAACCAGCAGAAAUGCUGGCUAAUGCCGCAUAAUCCAUAUUGGGAAAGCGCUUAGCGCUCUAGGAUGAGUCAACGGCCGAUUAGCUAGUUGGUGGGGUAAAGGCCCACCAAGGCGACGAUCGGUAGCUGGUCUGAGAGGAUGAUCAGCCACACUGGAACUGAGACACGGUCCAGACUCCUACGGGAGGCAGCAGUGGGGAAUCUUGCGCAAUGGGCGAAAGCCUGACGCAGCCAUGCCGCGUGAAUGAUGAAGGUCUUAGGAUUGUAAAAUUCUUUUACCAGGGACGAUAAUGACGGUACCUGGAGAAAAAGCCCCGGCUAACUUCGUGCCAGCCGCCGCGGUAA